rnacentral:rRNA from 1 species
UACGUAGGGGGCAAGCGUUGUCCGGAAUCAUUGGGCGUAAAGAGCGCGUAGGCGGCCCAGUAAGUCCGCUCUGAAAGUCAGGGGCUCAACCCCUGGAUACGGGUGGAUACUGUCGGGCUAGAGUCCGGAAGAGGCGAGUGGAAUUCCUGGUGUAGCGGUGGAAUGCGCAGAUAUCAGGAGGAACACCGAUAGCGAAGGCAGCUCGCUGGGACGGUACUGACGCUGAGGCGCGAAAGCGUGGGGAGCGAACAGG